GCCCACGGGACUUCCCUGGCGCGCGCCAUGAGUCACGCCGACCCCGAGACCUGGCGCGCCCACUCGCCGUGGACUGAAGGGCGGAGGUCAGGCUGGGCGGAAGCCGAGCUGGGCUCAGUCCACCCUGUGGUGGGAGCGUGAGCCGAGUCCAGCUUCGGAGAACCUGCUCCAGCCAGUUAUAAACCCGCCCCGCCUCCUGCGUAAACCCGCAAAGGCCCCAUGCUGCGCUGUCGGAAGCCCACUCCCUCCAGCCUCCUGGAAUGGCACUCCCCAUCAGAGCAGGACCUGCAGGGACCCCAGGGUCUGCCCUUGACACUUGGAGAUGUCUGCUCGUGGCCACCUGCCCGCUUGCCUCUAUCCGACACUGAGCCAGCAGAGCCCAGAACCCGGGAUCAGAAGUGUGUGAAGUGCAAGGAAGGCCUGCCUGUGGUGGUGAUCCGGGCUGGAGACGCCUUCUGCAGGGACUGUUUCAAGGCGUUGUACGUCCACAAGUUCAGAGCCAUGCUAGGGAAGAACCGGCUGAUCUUCCCAGGAGAGAAGGUGCUCUUGGCGUGGUCUGGGGGGGCUUCAUCCAGCUCCAUGGUCUGGCAGGUCCUUGAGGGCCUGAGUCGAGAUUCUGCCAAGAGGCUGCGUUUCGUGCCAGGGGUUGUCUACAUUGAUGAGGGAGCUGCCUGCGGCCAGAGCCCCGAGAACAGAGCGAAAACCCUGGCAGAGGUGAAGCUGGUCCUGCAGACCACUGGCUUCCCAUGGCACAUUGUGGCCUUGGAAGAGGUGUUCAGCCUGCCACCCUCCGUGCUGCGCUUCUCUGCCCAGGAGCCAGCGGGGACGGAGGGAGCCUACAAGGCUGCCGUGGACAGUUUCCUGCAGCAGCAGCACGCGCUGGGGGCUGACGGGGUGGAGCGGCAGAGCCAGCACUGCUCCCAGGACCCCCACAGCCACACUGGGCCACCCACGACCGCCCAGACCCAGGCGCUGUCCAGGUUGUUUGACUCGGUGAAGACACUGACUGCCAAGGAGGAGCUUCUGCAGACUCUGCGGACCCACUUGAUUCUCCACGUGGCCCGGAAGCACGGCUACUCCAAAGUCAUGACGGGGGACAGCUGCACCCGCCUGGCCAUCAAGCUCAUGACCAGCCUGGCGCUGGGGAGAGGGGCCUUCCUCGCCUGGGACACGGGCUUCUCAGACGAGCGACACGGUGACGUGGUGGUGGUACGGCCUAUGCGUGAGCACACGCUGAAGGAGGUCGCCUUCUACAACCACCUGUUUGCUGUGCCUUCCAUCUGCACGCCAGCCCUGGACACCAAGGCGCCUGAGAAGGCCAGCAUCCACCGGCUGAUGGAGGCCUUCAUCCUCAGACUGCAGGCCCAGUUCCCCUCCACGAUCAGCACCGUGUACAGGACAAGCGAGAAGCUGAUCAAGGCCCCCAGGGACGGCUGUGCCGCCGGCCCCCGCUGCCUGCUCUGCAUGUGCACGCUGGACGUCGACACUGCUGACAGCGCCACGGCUUUUGGGGCUCAGACCUCACAUCUCCCCCAGAUGCAGCCCCCUGUCACGCAGGCCGGGGCGGCUGCCGGGCCCUGCUGCUGUGCCGGGAUGGGCGGGGCCCCCGGCUGCCACAGGAGAGAGGACCCCCGGGCCCAGGUGAUGGAGCAGCUGUGCUACGGCUGCCGUGUGAACAUGAAGGACUUGCCCUCCCUGGAGCCCUUGCCACCCUACAUCCUGUCCGAGGCCCAGCUCCGCAGCCAGAGGGCCACGGUCGAGCAGGGGGUCCGAGAGUACCUGCUGGGGGACAGCGAAGACGAGACCGGGACUGGCAAGAGCUGAGCUCGCGGACCAGCGCCUGGGACAGGAGACCCCCCCGGGAGCAGGAAGACAGGAAGAUGUCCUGGCAGAGCUUGAGGAUGCGGUCCACACACGGCAGCUCCUCGAACAUGAUGGAGUGCGAGAUCUCGCUGAAGAAGCCGCGCACGAACUUACCGAUGACCAGCACGAUGGACACGUACAGCCCCAUGAUGCUGGGGGCAGGUGGGUGGGCGAGUGAGCCUCGGGCUGCCGCUGGCCUGCAUCCCGCCCCCGGCCCCGCCCCCUGGCCCUGCCAUACUCACCCAUAGCCGGCCAGGAAGCCCAGGCUGGGUGGGCUGACCUUGUCACUGAAGAUGACCAUGGGCAGUAGGUUGCAGUUGGCCUGGCAGUCCUGCAGCUCAAUGACCCACCACUCGAGGAAGCCAGCUGCCCCUGUACCCACACGCUCCCUGCGCAGCUGGAUACGCACGCCGAGGUAGUCAGCCUCCUCGUCUAGGUGGGAACCAGGAGGUGUCAGGGCCCCCAGCUGUCCAGGGCUGCAGCUGCAGCCAGCACCCCCACCCGAACCCCUGCCCCACUCACUGGGCUGCAGCUGCUUCACAGGGUUGGCUUCAGGCCCGUUGGGGGCACGGAUGUACUUGGGGAAGAGGUGGGGGAUGACCCUGUGAGGAGAAGUGGCGAGUCAGGCCUGGUCCAGCCCUCCUGUCCAGCCCUCCCUCCACACCAGGCCCCCCGCUCACUCACACUGACUGGUCCGAGGUACCUUCCAGCAGGCUGGCCAGCUGCCGCCGGGCGGUGCUGUUGGGGGCCAGGUCCAGGGUGUGCUUCUCGUUGGUGUACUCCACGCUGCCGCCCUUGGCCAGGUCCCUAUGGCAGCGGCACAGUGUGACCCGGUGGGGUGUGUGACCCCUUGGGGCUGCUCCCCGCCCAGGACGCACCUCUGGAAGUUCCAGGUGAAGCGCAGGGUGGGGUGCCCCCCUAGGACGCACCUCUGGAAGUUCCAGGUGAAGCGCAGGGUGAUGUCGGCUGUGCCGUUAUACAGCUCCCGCUUCAUCUGCUCCCGGCUUGGCGGGCUGAUGCGCCAGAGCGCCCCGGAGCUGCCCUCGAUGUGCACCGUGACGAUAUCCUCGGGGCUGUACUGGCUGAUGAACUGCAUGGCCAGCUGGGCGCAGGGUGGCAUCUCAGUGGGGAGCAGCCAGGCCCCCCUCCCAUCCCAGGCAGGCGCAUGGGGGGGCCACUCACCGGGUGGGGGUCAAACUGCUUGGACAGCUCCUCGUAGGUGUGGUGCGUGAAGGGCACGAUGGACGGCUGCUGGGCACUCAUGGUGAACAGGGGCUGGCGGUGGGGACACAGUGACCUGGCGCCCGGAGAGGCCCCCCAGCCCUGCCGCCAGCAGCCACGUGAAGCUGGGCCCCCUCACGAUGCUCACCUCGUAGCCUCCCAGCUUGAGAGUGACGGUGACAUCGAUGGGCUGGUUGACGACGCCGACCACAGAGCGCACCAGGGACAUGAAGAGCAGCGGGAACCAGAUGAUGGCCACGAGGAACAGGAUGAUGAGGCCGCCCAUGCCGUACUUGACGAUCUUCUUCUUCUUCUGCCCCUUGGGCUGCGGGUAUUUCUGGGGGUGGGGGGUAAACACAGGUCAACCACCUGGCCCCAUGGCGGGCCGUGGCAGCAGGCAUUGUGGUCUCAGGCUCCCCUGUGAGCCCACAAAGCCAAGCCUUGACUAUACAUUGAAACUGAAGCCAUAGCGGUGAAGACAGCUGACCAGGGAGUAGGGCCCGAAGCCAGAACCAGACCCUCACCUUGAGGCCGUGGGGAAGGAAAGCCUUUGCCACAGAGGGCGCUGGUCACCCACAUGCUUGACAAAGAUGAACUCGUAGGAGACCUAAAGCAGUAGAUGCCUUCAGGGCAAAUCUAUCUGAUGAGGGUCUAGUAUCUGGAAUACAUAAGGAACCCUCCCAAUGACAAAAAACCACCCAAGUAAGAACCAGGGAGAAACCUGGACAGACUGUCUCUCCAAAGACAAUGAUACACAGGUGACCAAGCAGAGGGAAAGAUGCUUGAUGGGAAACAGAAGUCGCCAGGUGAAAGAGGAGCACAGUGAGACACCUCCCUACUCUUGCCAGGACAGGUGAGGGUGUGGGGCAAGCUGGCUGGUGUCCCUGCCACACCACAGCGACAGGGCCCGGAAGGUGCCCCUAGAGACACAGGGUUCCACUCCUAAGUGCACACCCAGGAGAUAUGAAAGGCCGUGGAGGCGUUUUUUUUUUUAGGACAUACACAAGUCUUAACCACAAUGAACUACUACUUAGCCAUGAGAAACUGUGGUACAGCUGCAUGGAUAAACUUGGGCCACACUGUGCUGCGGGAAGCCAGCUGUGGAAGGCAGUGGCGGUGGGUCCACGCAGCUGGCAUGACAGGAACAGGCACACCCGUGUAGAGGGUGGAUGUGGGCCGAGGGCCGGGGACCCACUGCUGGUGGGGCUGGGGUUUCUGGAUGAUGAAUGUGGUCUUAACUGUGCAGAUGCUUAUGGAGAUUUGAAUAUACUAGAAACCAUCCACCCGGUGAUGUGUGAAUUUUAUCAAUAAAACAAAUGAGAAAGCACAAAA